rnacentral:lncRNA from 13 species
CCUCUCGCUCUCUCUCUCUUUCAGCAAAGAGCACUGGGCUCACUCGCUCGUUCGCUCCGCUCCGCUCCGCUCCACUCCGCGCAGCAACGCGCGCGUCUUUGGGGGAAGGGAAAGAGACAGAGGGAAAUGCUUAUUGCGCGCCGCGCCAUGCGCGGAAGGUGUUCUCGUUGAGCAAACAGCAAAAAUGAAUUAAUAUCACGCGGAAUUUCAAUCGACGUUAAUGACGAGCCGUGCGCCGACCGUGUGUGCACCGAACGUUCAAGCGAGAAAAAGAGAGAAGGAGGAAACACUUGUUGCGCGCGCCAUGGAAGCAAGCUUUUUCCUCUCCUCUCCUGUCGCCCCUUCGCGAGACAAAUAACGAAACAGAUAUGUGGCGAAAUUUCGAUCUGCGUGGGUCAAUAACGUGUUAGACAGGUGUGUGGAUCGAACGAAAAGAGAGAGAGAGAGAGAGAGAGAGAGAGAGAGAGAGGGAAUACCUGUUGCGCGCAUCGCGGAAAGACGCUCUUUCCACAAACGAGCGUGGCGAGACCGCGUCAACGUUCGGCAGAAUUUGCGCUAAAGCUAGGGACGGGCGCACGACGAAGAUGACCAACGUUCAGAGUCGAGAUUUAGCGUAAAUACGAGAGAAAUACGAUGAGAGACGCGGAACGAGAGGGACGAGACUUUACCCGCCAUAUUAACGCCUGACGCGAGCGCCGCGCCCCGCGCGCUUCGUUCGUUUACUUUUUUCGACGCGAAUUUCCGAAAUACCGCGCGCUAUCAUAGGUGUCGCUCGAAAAAGUGCGACUGCAUUUGGAAUCGAGCCCCUGAUGACUCGCGAGGGGGUAGAGGGGAGACAGCGUCGCGGUAUCGGUGGUAUACCUGUUUUUGCUCGCUGCGCUACCUGCAGCCUGCCACGAACGAGAGUGGAGGGGAUGCUGGAGAAAGAGAGAGAAAGACAAAGCGGGAGCGAGCGAAAGAGGGAAAUGGCGAGAAAGGGAGAAAUGGAGAAUACGUUACGUACGUCAGAAACGAGGAGAAAAACGGAUUUCGCGGGUCGACGACGGAAAAUGUACGCGACGCGACGCGGUGUAGCUAUAAUAAGGGAAAGGCGCAAAAGCUCGCGCGUCAGGUACGCAGACGCUCCGAGUGUCACCCUGCUCUCUCUCUCUCCUCUCCGGGCUCCUCGGAAUCCCCGGCUACGCCACGUCCACCAGAGGCGUUUCGCCUCGCCUCGCCUCGCCGCGCUACGCUCAUGGCGGAUCCAUGUGGUUCGCACGUGGAACGAGACGCGCUGCGUCGCGCCGUUGCUCGCGAUCGCCGGUGUACUCACUCGUCACUCCGAAAUACUGCGAGAGAUUCCGUGCGACCGCUAACCGUCGUCAGAUGGGAAAAUGGCGCGAGUGCGUAGGACAUCGGACGCGAGAGAUUUCGUAAGAACCUGCUUCCAGAAUGCACUGAAGUUUUGAUCGUUCGGGCUCGCGCGAAAAGGCAGGCGCUCUUUCACUAGCCAAGGAGUGAAAAAGAGAGAGCGACGACAGCUGCCGAUGGAUUUGACGUAGGAAUAUCCGAAGGAGCGAGGCACUCGGAAAUCUCGGAAUUGCUAUUGAGAAGAGAUCGCGUGUCGCGUCGGCGGCGCGGGAUUGGUCAGCCACCUGUUACCCGCCGGCCGCGAUUGGCCGUCGCCAACGGCAACUGAACAACCGCCAAGGGAAGAACGAAUACACUCGGAGCUCUGAUCACGCAGGAUUCGCGGCAAGUCAGGCAAAAGACGGGUGUAACGUUAAAGGGACGACGAGGUCGAUCCACUUUGGGACUCCUUUUACAUGCGGCGUAAGAGGACGGAGAACGGAUUCAUCGUUGCGGGGAACUUUCUCCCGGACAGGCGUUCAACGCUCGUAUACGUGGCUCUUGUGUCUGGCCACGUAACUUUCGAAACGACAGGACAGGUCUCUCGCAGAUUGCCAGUACAUUCCUUUCAACGAUGCCCAUGGAACUGAUCCUUACGUCCUCGCGACCUCGAGAACCCUCGCGUAUAAAAGUGUGUACGCGCAUCUCGUUAACACUUUGACUAUACCAAGCUGAUUUCAAUAUCGAGCUCAAUAAAUCUAGUAUUUUUAUAAUUUGUUUUUCUUAACGUCUUAACGUAAUUUAUAUUGUUUCUUUGAUAUUUGAAAAAAUAUAUAUAUAAAUUACAAUAAGUCAUCUUAAAUACUUGGUAAAAUUAUUCUUGAUCGGGUAAAACUGUCACGCACCAAUGAAUGAUGGAAAUUUACACGUCACAUGGAUACAUGAGCAAUUUUGACAUGGCAGCAAAGUGUUAAAAUUAUGAAAAAGUUGUACAUCAUAAGAAUAUGUUAUCUUUAAAUUUUGAAAAUUAUUUAUCAUUUACAGGAUUUUAGAAACUUGAAAAAAUUGCAAAUUUAUAUUUUUAUCCAGUUUUUAGAAAUCUUAAAAACAAAACCGAUAUAAAUUAAUAUUGUAAAUCGUUAAAAAUUAUAAAAUUUAUGACCCAAGAUUAUCACGUUUUUUAACGAAACAUUUAUGGGAAAUGCAAAACGGUGACUAUGCAACUUAAACAUGGAUUAUGUGAUUAAUUUGAAGUUUUAACAUAUAAUAUUUUUAAUAAUGUCCUCAUCAGAUCACACAUAAACAAUAAGAAGAACCUCUGCAUUGUGACAGAAAAACUAUUAUCUAUUUUGAACAAACUGAACAUAUUUAUUAUUAUUUCAUAAAGAAGAUAGAUCAAAGACGAGCUGUUAGAAGGUGCAGAAUACAUUUAAUUAGGAAUUUAAAACAAUAUAUAGCAACGUUUCAACUUAACUUAUUGUUAGUCAUUAUUAUCAGCCUAAUAUGUUAAUUAUAAUUAAUAAGAAUGAAAGGAAUAUAUCUGAUGUUGAAAUGGAAAA